rnacentral:tRNA from 1 species
GUCUGGGUGGCUCAGUCACUUGAGUGUCUGACUUCGGCUCAGGUCAUGAUCUCAUGGUUUGUGGGUUCGAACCCCACAUCGGGCU